rnacentral:rRNA from 1 species
UGCUGGAGGUAUCAGAAGUGCGAAUGCUGACAUAAGUAACGAUAAAGCGGGUGAAAAGCCCGCUCGCCGGAAGACCAAGGGUUCCUGUCCAACGUUAAUCGGGGCAGGGUGAGUCGACCCCUAAGGCGAGGCCGAAAGGCGUAGUCGAUGGGAAACGGGUUAAUAUUCCCGUACUUGGUGUUACUGCGAAGGGGGGACGGAGAAGGCUAUGUUGGCCGGGCGACGGUUGUCCCGGUUUAAGCGUGUAGGUGUGUGUUCCAGGUAAAUCCGGUUCACUUUAACACUGAGGCGUGACGACGAGGCACUACGGUGCUGAAGCAACAAAUGCCCUGCUUCCAGGAAAAGCCUCUAAGCAUCAGGUAACANGAAAUCGUACCCCAAACCGACACAGGUGGUCAGGUAGAGAAUACCAAGGCGCUUGAGAGAACUCGGGUGAAGGAACUAGGCAAAAUGGUGCCGUAACUUCGGGAGAAGGCACGCUGACACGUAGGUGAAGUGAUUUACUCAUGGAGCUGAAGUCAGUCGAAGAUACCAGCUGGCUGCAACUGUUUAUUAAAAACACAGCACUGUGCAAACACGAAAGUGGACGUAUACGGUGUGACGCCUGCCCGGUGCCGGAAGGUUAAUUGAUGGGGUCAGCGCAAGCGAAGCUCCUGAUCGAAGCCCCGGUAAACGGCGGCCGUAACUAUAACGGUCCUAAGGUAGCGAAAUUCCUUGUCGGGUAAGUUCCGACCUGCACGAAUGGCGUAAUGAUGGCCAGGCUGUCUCCACCCGAGACUCAGUGAAAUUGAACUCGCUGUGAAGAUGCAGUGUACCCGCGGCAAGACGGAAAGACCCCGUGAACCUUUACUAUAGCUUGACACUGAACAUUGAGCCUUGAUGUGUAGGAUAGGUGGGAGGCUUUGAAGUGUGGACGCCAGUCUGCAUGGAGCCGACCUUGAAAUACCACCCUUUAAUGUUUGAUGUUCUAACGUGGACCCGUAAUCCGGGUUGCGGACAGUGUCUGGUGGGUAGUUUGACUGGGGCGGUCUCCUCCUAAAGAGUAACGGAGGAGCACGAAGGUUGGCUAAUCCUGGUCGGACAUCAGGAGGUUAGUGCAAUGGCAUAAGCCAGCUUGACUGCGAGCGUGACGGCGCGAGCAGGUGCGAAAGCAGGUCAUAGUGAUCCGGUGGUUCUGAAUGGAAGGGCCAUCGCUCAACGGAUAAAAGGUACUCCGGGGAUAACAGGCUGAUACCGCCCAAGAGUUCAUAUCGACGGCGGUGUUUGGCACCUCGAUGUCGGCUCAUCACAUCCUGGGGCUGAAGUAGGUCCCAAGGGUAUGGCUGUUCGCCAUUUAAAGUGGUACGCGAGCUGGGUUUAGAACGUCGUGAGACAGUUCGGUCCCUAUCUGCCGUGGGCGCUGGAGAACUGAGGGGGGCUGCUCCUAGUACGAGAGGACCGGAGUGGACGCAUCACUGGUGUUCGGGUUGUCAUGCCAAUGGCACUGCCCGGUAGCUAAAUGCGGAAGAGAUAAGUGCUGAAAGCAUCUAAGCACGAAACUUGCCCCGAGAUGAGUUCUCCCUGAGACUUAGAGUCUCCUGAAGGAACGUUGAAGACGACGACGUUGAUAGGCCGGGUGUGUAAGCGCAGCGAUGCGUUGAGCUAACCGGUACUAAUGAACCGUGAGGCUUAACCUUACAACGCCGAAG